UCAAAAUCAUGGGUUUUUUUAUUAACCUGACCUGUGUUACAGUGUCCACCCUUUGGGUACACAGGAGAAACCCCUCCAGCUGCACUCCAUACCCUGGGCAGCACCUGAAUUUCUGGUUAAAAUCUGUGUCCAAAUAAGCCAGAAACAUUUGAGAUGUGCAGUAUGAGAAAUUCCCCCUAAGGCAGAGGACACGCAGAUGGGUCUUUGGAAAUCAUAAACUUUCUAAAGAGAUAGGGAAGAAGUACACAGGAACAAGGUCUUCAACUCCACUGGGACAUGAGGAACAUCUUUGUCUCUUCACAGAUCUGUCCCUUAGGAACUGCAGUCAAAUUCACUUGAACAAACAAAAUGUUUCCUUUUAACUGGCUGCUGUUUGUUAACUCAUGAAAGAGAAGAUGCUUGUUGUUCCCUUUAUUUUUUUUUUUUUGCUUUUGAUUUGCAUUGCAAGGUGAGUUUGUAAACGGAACUAAUAGAAAAAUCAAGGUUAAUGCUGCCUGAUCAAAUAAGAAUCAUGAAGUUUGCCCCUUUGCAGAGCAAUGGAUGAUAUCUGUGGUACUUUUUAUGAUGCUAAUAUGACACCAAGGUGAAAUGUGAACCUGGAACAUAAUGAAAUCAAGAGUUUAUGAUGAAUCAGUGAGCAAAAAGCAUUAUUUGGGUACACUAUUCUAGGAAACUCUCAAAAAACCCAUUCACUUUUUAUACAAUUCACUGAGGCUCAUCCAGUGAACCAAACACAGAAAUUGCCACAGGAUUUGAUGCAGUGGUGCCCCAUUCUUCAAAAAUAAAUUAUUCAAAAAUUCUGCACAAAUAACAAUCCAAGAAAUUGGAUUAUAUAUGAAUAAAUACAUUGUGUUGUGACAUUUAACAAUUUGAGGUUUUUUUUCCCAGAAUGAAAGAAUAUAAAGUACAAAUUUCUGCCCUUUACCUUUAGAAAGCUGGGAAAACGUGUGUUUAUUUAUCUCAAUGCAGAAAUUGUGUGAAAGCCUCAUUUGUGUGGGUCAGAAAGACAACAAGAUUGUUUUCUGAAUCCAAGGCUAUUCCCAUAUAGGACUAGAUUUUAGUAACUGGUGUUCUAGUGCAUUAAAGUGAAUCCACAAUGUGCUGGUGGGGUCUGUGUGCAAUCAUUUCUUCUAUCUGGGUGUCACAGCACUCCAUUUUGCCUUUUUUUAGGCUUGUUAAUCUUGUUACUCUGCUGAGCGUGCAUCAGUGUAGCUGUUGGACUCUGCAAAUCCCACGAGUAAUUUCACUCAGCUCCACAAAACACAUUUAUCUUUGGCAGCCCAUGAGUAAGAGCGGCUGAGAUGUUGUCAGUGUUCAAUGCAGAUCUGGUCUUUGCCAUUUCUUAGUCCUGGACUGGGGAAACACAAGCAAACAUUCCACAUUUCUGCAGGUGAGACAUAAACUUUAAGAAAUUUACAGAUUUUAGAGCAGUGAAGAUUUUAGUUAGAGCUAAAGGUUUAUUGGAGUUAAUUAAAAUAAAUGGGUAGGCCUUGAUGGAGUUAAGAGUUAGUAGUUAACUAAUAAUUGAUUGCUUGUCAACAUAAUGUUUGGUUAGCUGGGUUUAUAAUGAAUAAUAUAGAAACUAAUAAAUAGCUUUUAGGAGCAUAAGAAAAUUGUGGCCUCCUCUGUUCUUAAACCAAUUGAAGACGGAAAUGGGAGUUCUACCAAGGGUUCAUUUGUCAUAUUUGCAUUGAAAAGGUAGAAAGGUCAGAAUGAGAAAGACUUCAUUCACUUCCUCAUUUUGGAAUGAAUGGAAGGGACCACCAACCCAUUUCAAGGAACAAACUACUCAUGCUUAAUGACUUUUGAACUAAUUACUAUACGAAGAGGGGAAUGGGAUAUACCAAAGUUAUGAAUACGCAUUUGUAUUUUGGGUAUUCAAUACCUGUAUAGAUAAAAGGACUCUGUAAUGACCUGUAAAUUGUGGUGUGUAUUUGG